GACAGAGGGUGCAAACGUUGUUCGGAAUUACUGGGCGUAAAGCGCGUGUAGGCGGCUUGGCAAGUCGGGUGUGAAAGCCCUGGGCUCAACCUAGGAAGUGCACUCGAAACUGCCUCGCUCGAGUAUCGGAGAGGAAAGCGGAAUUCUCGGUGUAGAGGUGAAAUUCGUAGAUAUCGAGAGGAACACCGGUGGCGAAGGCGGCUUUCUGGACGGUCACUGACGCUGAGACGCGAAAGCGUGGGGAGCAAACAGG
rnacentral:rRNA from 1 species